GACGAACGCUGGCGGCGUGCUUAACACAUGCAAGUCGAACGGAAAGGCCCUGCUUUUGUGGGGUGCUCGAGUGGCGAACGGGUGAGUAACACGUGAGUAACCUGCCCUUGACUUUGGGAUAACUUCAGGAAACUGGGGCUAAUACCGGAUAGGAGCUCCUGCUGCAUGGUGGGGGUUGGAAAGUUUCGGCGGUUGGGGAUGGACUCGCGGCUUAUCAGCUUGUUGGUGGGGUAGUGGCUUACCAAGGCUUUGACGGGUAGCCGGCCUGAGAGGGUGACCGGCCACAUGGGGAAGGGGAAACGGCCCAGACUCCUACGGGGGGCAGGAGGGGGGAAUAUUGCAAAAGGGGCGGAAGCCUGAUGCAGCAACCCCGGGUGCGGGAGGACGGCCUUCGGGUGGUAAACCGCUUUCGCUUGUGACGAAGCGUGGGUGACGGUAAUGGGUAAAGAAGCACCGGCUAACUACGU
rnacentral:rRNA from 1 species